AAAGGACCUAUCAUAUUUUACUGAGAACCGUUCAUAGGAAGACAGCUGGUACGCUCCACUUCUUCCUCUCUACCUUAAGAUCUCCCCUUGGCUUCCCCUGAAGCCCUUCUAAGUAGGAGGGCAAAGAGGGGGUUGAGCUAUCAGAAUCCUGAAUAAUUCAUGAGACCCGCCUCUUUAGUUGGGAACCACGCCCUUGAAUCGUGCUGACGCACUUUGCGUGUACCAAACUUGAGGAAGCGACGUAGCAGUUCCCGCCCCUAGAGCGGAGGGCGGGGCAUCUUCUCCAGCACGUGCUGCAUCUACCCGCGCAAGCCCAAAAGAGUGUGCGCAGGCGCUGCCCACUAGGGGGAGGAAGGAGGCGGGGUAGGGAGGUUGUUGGGUUUAGAGCCGGGCGGAGACGGCUGAGACUCAUUCCUCAGGAACAAGGGUCGGGUGUCAAGGAGACCUUUUCACACCAGCUCCUGUUCCCCGCCUACGGUUGGUGGGAUCGCGCAGCAGAAACAAAAAGGAUAUCAGUAGGGCCGGACAUAGGUGCGAAGGAAAGUAGGGUGUCAGUUUGGGGUGGUGGGCUUUUGAGGGGGUCGAGGGGUAAAUCUAUUUAAACUCCCGGAGCCGUUAAGUUGCUUCGUACUCUGAUGCGCGCGCAACCAGGGUGGUGGCGGAGUGCGCAUGCGUGGCUCCGGGACGAGAGGAACGCGCUCCAGCGGUGCGCGCUCGCGGCAGAGAGGCAGUGGUAGAGGAGAAAGGGGCCGGCGCACGCGCGGUUGAUUCCUCGAGUUGUUCGGGUCUCGCGGGCAUCUUGUUUUGGUCUCGCGGGCGAGUGGGGCGCGCUUUGGGGGGAGGUGCUUGGAGUCGAGACUAAGCGAUAAGAGCCGAGCUGCGCGCGCACUCGGGAAAGGGGGGAAGGGAGCGGGGUCUAAGAAGGGGGGGUCAUCCCCCUCAAGCCCUGGUUACCCUCGACUGGGACGGAAUAAGGGGAGGAAAUGAUCGAGAUGGCGGCGGAGAAGGAGCCGUUUCUAGUGCCGGCCCCGCCGCCGCCGCUCAAAGAACAGUCGGGCGGAGGGGGCGGCCCCACGGUGCCACCGCACCAAGAGGCCGCCUCAGGGGAGCUCCGCGGCGGGACGGAGCGUGGGUCGGCCCCUCGCGCACAGUCGGCUGGGGUCCCGGCUUCAGGGGCUGGCAAGCAGAGCCCGGGGGUCGCACAGCAUCGAGGGGGCGGCCCCCAGGCACUGUCGCACGGGGAGGCCCGCUUGUCGGAUCCUCACGGGCGAGCCGCUCCCCCGGACGUGGGGGAGGAGCGACGGGGCGGGGGCGGAACAGAACUGGGUCCCCCUGUCCCUCCUCGACCCCGUAAUGGCUAUCAGCCCCACCGACCCCCUGGGGGUGGUGGAGGCAAAAGGAGAAAUAGCUGUAAUGUAGGAGGAGGUGGUGGAGGCUUCAAACAUCCGGCCUUCAAGAGGCGCAGGCGGGUUAAUUCGGACUGUGACUCUUUAUUACCCUCCAACUUCCUCCUGGGGGGCAAUAUUUUUGAUCCGCUGAACCUGAAUAGUCUCCUGGAUGAGGAAGUGAGCCGAGCACUCAAUGCGGAGACCCCUAAGUCAUCUCCCCUUCCGGCCAAAGGGCGGGACCCUGUGGAAAUCCUCAUCCCCAAAGACAUUACUGACCCGCUCAGUCUCAAUACUUGCACUGAUGAGGCCCAGGUAGUUCUUGCUUCACCUCUCAAGACGGGUCGGAAACGGCAUAGACACCGGGGACAACACCAUCAGCAGCAGCAGGCAUCUGGAGGGAAUGAUAGCCACUCUGUGCUGCCCACAUCCCCUCUCACUCCCUCAGUCCACGGGGAGGGCACCACACAACAGCAGCGGCAUAGGGGCCAGAACCGGGAUGCACCCCAACCCUAUGAACUCAACACAGCCAUCAACUGCAGGGAUGAAGUUGUGUCUCCCCUUCCAUCUGCCCUGCAGGGUCCCUCAGGCUCCCUUCCAGCCCCCUCAGCUGCCUCAGUUACCUCUGCAUCCUCAUCUUCCUCACGACAUCGAAAACGCCGCAGGACUUCCAGCAAGUCAGAGGCAGGGGCUAGGGGUGGAAGCCAUGGUUCCAAGGAAAAGAGCCGAGGGAGUGGGGGAGGCCGCCACCACCACCCACUACCUGCAGCAGGCUUCAAAAAACAACAGCCCAAGUUCCAGUAUGGGAAUUAUUGCAAGUACUAUGGGUAUCGCAAUCCUUCCUGUGAGGAUGUGCGUCUUCGGGUAUUGAAGCCUGAGUGGUUUCGGGGCCGGGACGUCCUUGAUCUGGGCUGCAAUGUUGGUCACCUCACCCUGAGCAUUGCCUGCAAGUGGGGUCCAUCUCGCAUGGUGGGCCUGGACAUUGAUGCCCGGCUCAUCCAUUCUGCCCGCCAAAACAUCCGGCACUACUUGUCUGAAGAGCUCCGUCUCCCAUCUCAAACUUCUGAGGGGGAUCGGGGGGCAGAGGGUGAGGAAAGGACAACCACUGUCCGAAAGAGAAGCUGCUUCCCAGCGUCACUGACAGCCAGCCGAGGUCCCAUUGCUGCACCCCAAGUGCCCUUGGAUGGAGCAGACACAUCAGUCUUCCCCAACAACGUUGUCUUCGUCACGGUAAGAAGGUCCAGAGGUUCUUGGAAUUGGGACCAGGUAUGAAAAGAUUAAAUGGGAAUGGGGCAGGUGAAGGUUAUGACCCAGAGGGGAUUCCAUGCAUUCAUUCCUUGUUAGGAAAACCAGAUCCUCAAGAGUCUGGAUUGGCAAGUGAGAACCUUUGCUGGGUGACUCCCUCUGAUAACCUGAAAAGGUGUGGGGCUUUAACCCUGGGGUCCUUUCUCAUGAUUUCCAAGGAUCUCUUCCCCAAGAUAGAGGCUAAUUCCCUUUUCCCUGCUUCCAGCCUGGACUGUAAUUCAGACUGAUCCACCGCCUCUUGAAAGCUGCUGCUGCUCACUAGCAAUUGAGUCCAUGUGGAACCUUGUUCUCAAUUUUUCUAACAGCAUGAGGGAUGGGUGUCAUACGUGUAAUGUCUUACGGGGAAGGAGAGAAUAGGGUAGUGGCAGACUAAUAUUUAUAGUGUCUUUCCUUUGAUAGGGCCCACAGUUGCUUUUGUUUUCCCUUGACAGAGUUCUCUGUAAGAGUGUCAAGAAUCCAAGUAGUUGGACUUUAGAUUAUCUCCAUGUUGACCCUAGGUAAUGGGAGGGGGGAAGAGUCAGACCUCUGCAGAGAGGGGAGGGUACUGUGCCUUGCAGAGUGCCUAUCCCUUGUCUACACACAGCUCUCAGUAAAACACUCAUUAGGCUUUCGGUCAGAAUAUUUGGCAUUGUGUUGGGGUUCACCCUGAAAAAUGGAUUUUCUAAUGGGUGAUGAUAAGCUUAUCACCUAGAAAAGGUUUCCUAAGGGAUGUAGCUCUUCAUUUCUCUUGCAGAAAGGAAAAAAUAAGCCUGAAACUUUGCCAGCCCCAACUGCAGGGAGGGAACCAUGGCCUCCUUUGAAAUCUGGGAAGUUACCCUUGUAUUAACAUUGAGUUGCUUUGCAUAAGGUUUGUGGGUGAGAAUAAGCACAGAGUAGGGUUUAGGGAGAACCCUAGUCUCUCCCUCUGUAAUCUAAGCCCAGCUUGGAAGACUGUGGGUAAUUUGCCCCGUUGAAAGUACCAGGCUCCUUUUUAAUGCUUGUUUUGGUUUGCCAUCAGUAGGAAACAGGCAGGCGAGAGUAGAGAGAAAAUGAGACUCGGAGGGCACCAUUUGGGAGUCUGAGGAGUGCCUGAGAAGAAUGUGACCACAGGCUAAAGGUAAUUAUGUGCUGGAUCGAGAUGAGCUAGUGGAGGCACAGACACCAGAGUAUGAUGUGGUGCUAUGCCUCAGCCUCACCAAGUGGGUGCAUCUGAACUG